AUCUUAUCGCGAGAGACGGAGGGACGGGCCCGAUGAUGUCUCAGCAACCGCCGAUGCAUUCGGAAAGGUGCUAAAUCCUGCAAGGCAUAUGCAUAUUUAUGUGCCUCGAGAGAUAAGAA
rfam:Bacillus sp. FJAT-27916 Scaffold1, whole genome shotgun sequence.